rnacentral:rRNA from 1 species
CCUACGGGUGGCAGCAGUGAGGAAUAUUGGUCAAUGGACGAGAGUCUGAACCAGCCACGUAGCGUGAAGGAUGACUGCCCUAUGGGUUGUAAACUUCUUUUAUAUGGGAAUAAAACGUUCCACGUGUGGGAUUUUGUAUGUACCAUAUGAAUAAGGAUCGGCUAACUCCGUGCCAGCAGCCGCGGUAAUACGGAGGAGCCGAGCGUUAUCCGGAUUUAUUGGGUUUAAAGGGAGCGUAGGUGGAUUGUUAAGUCAGUUGUGAAAGUUUGCGGCUCAACCGUAAAAUUGCAGUUGAAACUGGCAGUCUUGAGUACAGUAGAGGUGGGCGGAAUUCGUGGUGUAGCGGUGAAAUGCUUAGAUAUCACGAAGAACUCCGAUUGCGAAGGCAGUUCACUGGACUGCAACUGACACUGAGGCUCGAAAGUGUGGGUAUCAAACAGGAUUAGAUACCCGAGUAGUC